UUAUGCCAGUAUAAUCAUAUAAUCAGGCGCUGCCAUAUUUUGCUGUGAUGCUGUCACGGCUCUAGCACUUGAUUUUAUUCUUAUUUUCUUGUAGAAGUAGGCUUUGAGAACAACCACAAUCAUUCCUGCUCCAAAAACACGGACGACUGCUGAUGGAAGAGUGAGAUGCUUGAGAGCAGACGGAUGCAGUGAGCAGCAGGUGGCAGCAGACGCUGGUCAAACUGCUGUGGAGAGCAUGAAGAACCGCAUCAGCUGCAGCACAAUAUAAAGAUCUCAACCACUCAGCCGGGGUAAAUAAGAGCCCUACAGCCCCCUUAAUCACGAGAUGUACAGUUCCUCAGUCGGCCAGACCUGAACUUUAACUGAACUUCUGAGAAAUCCAGCAGCUCGUGGCAUUCUGGGAAAUGAAGUGUUCGUCAGCAUGUCAAUAUAAACCCUCUGUCUGUCUCGAAGCCCAAGAAAGGAAAACAAACUUUCGUUAAAUGUUCAAACAAGGCUAUCAUUUUUGACAUGCUUCUUUUUACAAAAGAAAAUCGCUUAUUAAUGUUACUUAUAAGAUAUAAAUUAUUCUACUUGGUUUGAAUUUCAGUUCUAGUUCCUCAGUUCAAGUUCAGGACUUCAGGACUAGUCAUUAAAAGUUAGUCAUCUAAUUUCUUUUUUCUUCAAGACUGGUCAUAAUUUAAAGUCAGUUACAAAACAACUGGUUAUCCCUUGGCAAACUGCUAGCUGGUCAGUCGAUCUUAACAGAGGGGCUAUGUUUAUGCAACUGCCCUCUGAACUAGAAUUUGAGAAACAUUGUGAAUUAAAUUCGGAGUGUAUAGACCUCAUGCACCAGAGAAACACAUGCGCAGCCAUCUUUACAGUUCACUCGCACCCUAAAGAGAGCAGCCCGGAAAAUGGAGCGCAGUUGGAGGAAAACAAAACUAGAGGU